AACUGAUACUACCUGCGGGAACCUGCGGAAGGAUCAUCACCGAUUCAACAAACCACGGGGUGAAAGAGGUCUUAAAAACACCUCUUCUCUCCUGUACCUGCUUGUGCACUUGUUGUUUUUGUCCUGUGGGAAGGUACGCUUUGUAUAAUUUUGUUGUACAUGGCUCUUCCCACAUUUAUUAUCUCAAACGUGUCUUUAUUUUCGCAAGUCUGAAAUCUGAAUUAUAUUCUUAAUUCUAUU
rnacentral:misc_RNA from 1 species